UCCCCAUUUCUUUCUUCUCCCGAAACUCACUUUCUCUUCUUCGACCCAGGCAAACCCCACUUCUCUCUAUUGCAGGAAUCUCUUCUUCAACCCACAAGCCCUCUUCUCUCCAUCGAUCGUCCACGUUGCCGUCAUCUUCUAACCCAAACGGGCCAUUGAUGUGUUGAACCCCUUUCCUUGCCAAUGAAUCUUCGUCCAAAGUUUGUGCCAUUUCCUCCACAAAUCUGCCACAACAAAAUCGCGAUUUGGGUAAAUCAUUUGGUAUUUGUUGUUUAUAAAUUGGUAGGAUUGUCUGUGAUCUAUUUGGGGAAUCUAUGUUGAGGGUAUAAAGGAAGAAGUUGUUCUUUCUCCUGGGCAUGCACUUUCUUUUAUUACUGCUAGGGAAGGUACUUGUACCAAUUUCUCCUACUCUGUUCAUCUUUUUUUCAUUCGUCGUUGAUCUUUUGUUUGACAUGAGUGUCUGGUUAUGGUAUUCUUUAUUGAAAUUUAA